rnacentral:misc_RNA from 1 species
CCAAACUUGGUCAUUUAGAGGAAGUAAAAGUCGUAACAAGGUUUCCGUAGGUGAACCUGCGGAAGGAUCAUUAUUGAAUAAACUUGGUUGGGUUGUUGCUGGCUUUUCAGGAGCAAUGUGCACGCUCACACCAUCUUUUAACCCACCUGUGCACCUUGUGUAGAUCUCUGGGGGUGGUUUUACUUCGGUAUUUUCCCCCCCCUUCAAGAUCUAUGUCUUUAUAUUAUACCCGUAAUAGAACGAUUGAAUGGAAAGGGCCAUCGCGCCUUUAAAAAAUAAAUAAAAAUAAAAACAACUUUCAACAACGGAUCUCUUGGCUCUCGCAUCGAUGAAGAACGCAGC